GUCUAUGGCCAUACCACCUGAAUGCGCCAAAUAUUGCAUGAUCUCAGAAGUUAAACAGGGUCAGACUUGGUUAGUACUUGGAUUGGAGUCCAAUAUAAAAAUGAAAAAUUAUAGGAC
rnacentral:rRNA from 1 species